rnacentral:rRNA from 1 species
UGGGGAAUCUUGCGCAAUGGACGAAAGUCUGAUCUAGCAACACCGCGUGUGCGAAGAAGGCCUUCGGGUUGUGAAGCACUUUUUGGAAGGAUUAGGAAGGAAUGUACUUCCAGAAUAAGUCUCGGCUAACUACGUGCCAGCAGCCGCGGUAACACGUAGGAGGCGAGCGUUAUUCGGAUUUACUGGGCGUAAAGCGCGUGCAGGCGGCUCGAUAAGUUGGAUGUGAAAGCUCCCGGCUUAACUGGGAGAGGUCGUUCAAUACUGUCGGGCUAGAGGAUGAGAGAGGGAGGUGGAAUUCCGAGUGUAGUGGUGGAAUGCGUAGAUAUUCGGAGGAACACCAGUGGCGAAAGCGGCCUCCUGGACCAUUCCUGACACUCAGACACGAAAGCUAAGGUAGCAAACG